ensembl:lncRNA
AGAGCAAUUGUUGCUCUUGCCUAUUUUUCUGUUAACUGUCAUACCAUGCAAGUAGAAGAAAAGAAGGAGUUGUCAGAAUGGAUCCACCAAGGGGAAAUCAUGGUUGACCAGUCUGGUAACCUUCUAUGCUGUGUUGGCCUGCUGGUCAGAUGAGAGGAGAACGGUGGGUGUUGUGUACCUUGACUGCAUCAAGGCUUUUAACACUGACUACCACAAUAUCCUUGUAAUGAAGCUUAGGAAGUGUGGGAUAGACAAGUGGACUGUGAGGUGGAUUGAGAACUGGCCAACUGGCAGAGCUCAGAGGGUUGAGAUCAGUGACAGAGUCUAGUUGGAGGCCUAUAACUAGUAGUGUUUCUCAGGGGUUGGUGCUGGAUCUGGUCCUGUUCAAUAUCAUCAUCAGUGACCUGGAUGAAUGGAUAGAGUGCACCUUCAGGAAGUUUGCUGAUGACAGAAAGUUGGGAGGAAUGGCUGAUACUCCAGAAGAUUGUGCUGCCAUUCAGCGAGACCUGGGCAGAUGGAGAGGAACAUUAUGAGGUGGAACAAAGACAAGUUCACAGUCCUAUCCCUGGGGAGGAAUAAUCAUAUGCAUCAGUACAGGUUAGGGGCUGACCUGCUGGAAAGGAGCUCUACAGAGAAGGACCUAGGUGUUCUGGUGGAAAACAGGUUGGCCAUGAGCCAGCAGUGUGCCCUUGCAGCAAAGAUGGACCAAUGGUAUCCUGGGGUGCAUUAAAAGGAACAUGGCCAGCAGAUCGAGGGCAGUGAUCCUCCUAUUCUACAGUGCCUUGGUGAGGUCACAUCUUUAGUACUGUGUCCAGUUCUGGGCUCUCCAGUUUAAGUAAGACAGAACUUCUAGAGAGCCAAGUGCAGAGCUACAAAGAUGAUUAGGGGCCUGGAGCAUCUCCCUUAGUAGGGCAGGCUCAGAGAUUUGGGACUGUUUAGCCUGGAGAAGACUGAGUGGGGACUUUACCAAUGCUUAUAAAUAUCUAGAGGGCAGGAGCCAAGUGGAUGAGGCCAGGCUCUUUUUGCCUAGCAACAGAACAAAAGGCAGUGGAUAUAAACUGGAACAUAGGAUUCAUACGAACAUGAGGACAGACUUCUUUUUUUUUUGAGCACUGUAACAAGCUGCCCAGAGAGGCUGUGGAGUCUCCUUCUCUGGAGCUAUUCAAAACCCACCUAGCUGCUUUCCUGUGUAAUCGACUCUAGGGAACCUGCUUUAGCAGUGAGGUUGGACUAGCUGAUCCACAUAGGUCCCUUUCAUCCCCUACAAUUUUGUGCAUGCUGGUAUUAUACAGUAAUAAUAACAGAAUAAAAAUUUUCUACCAUCUGCUCUAAAAGGAGGAACUUUGGAGUCUACCCAAUAUAGCCACUCUGGGAAAUGCUACUAUGAGUCACUGCAAACAAUAGUUGAUGUACGCUCAGUUUUUCCCCAGCUUUGCUUAAAAUUACUUAGCUCAAAGGGUCUAAAUUAUGAAGGUAUUUUCUUAAUGACUGUGAUUCAAUAAAGAGUACUAGAAUAACUUUAAAUAGGCCACAGGGGAGGGAGGAAGCUCGGGAGAUUAGGUGGAAUAUGCAUUUCUUCUUUCCUGAACACAUGGUUGUUGCUUGCAAGUAGGGAAACAACCUUCCUUUUCAGUUCCAGCUGCCGUGCUAUGUGGUGGGUAGCUACCAGAGUUGUUCCAGAUAAAAGGGAUGUUGGCAAAAUUUCUGUACUUCUAUUCUCCCUCUUAAAAUAGAAUGAAAAGAAGAGAACAUGGAUCCAGGACCACAUCAGAAAUUGCAUCCUACAAGAGGAAGAAAGACUCAUCCUGUCAAAAAAUAUACAUCCAACUCUGCUGAAUCUUUGGAAAAUUCCUAACACUUGUUUUUAGAUAUUAAGAUGUGACAACCUGCUCGACAGGUCUGGGGCAGGUGACUGUUAUACUCUACAGCAGCAUUUAUUACCAUGUAUAGGACAUCCACUGCUACAGAAUACCACUGAAUUUUGCUCCGCAAAAGGCUGUCAGGAUGUCGUGCUGCAGAACAGUUUUUCUUUCAGAAUUUCUUCUGUUGUUUUUUUUUUCCCUACUAAAUUUAAAUAAAAA